rnacentral:rRNA from 1 species
AUUGAACGCUGGCGGCAGGCCUAACACAUGCAAGUCGAGCGGAUGAAGGGAGCUUGCUCCUGGAUUCAGCGGCGGACGGGUGAGUAAUGCCUAGGAAUCUGCCUGGUAGUGGGGGAUAACGUCCGGAAACGGGCGCUAAUACCGCAUACGUCCUGAGGGAGAAAGUGGGGGGUCUUCGGACCUCACGCUAUCAGAUGAGCCUAGGUCGGAUUAGCUAGUUGGUGGGGUAAAGGCCUACCAAGGCGGCGAUCCGUAACUGGUCUGAGAGGAUGAUCAGUCACAAUAGAGCAGAGAAGAGGUCCAGACUCCUACGGGGGGCAGCAGUAGGGAAGAAUAGAGGAUGGGGGAAGAAAUGAUGAAGCAACGACGCGGGUGGGAUGAAGGUCUUCGGAUUGUAAAGCACUUUAAGUUGGGAGGAAGGGCAGUAAGUUAAUACCUUGCUGUUUUGACGUUACCAACAGAAUAAGCACCGGCUAACUUCGUG